AUGGCGGCGAUAAUAUCGCGGCGGGGUGCGGCGCGGGCGCUGGCGCUGGCGAUGGCGCGGAGGGGGAUGUGCUCCGCCCCGGCACCCGCGGCGGCGCUGUCGUCGGAGGAGCUCAUACGGAUGGAGCAGGACUGCAGCGCGCACAACUACCAUCCGAUUCCCAUGGUGUUCUCCAAAGGGGAAGGAUCGCAUAUAUUGGACCCUGAAGGCAACAAAUAUAUUGAUUUUCUCUCUGCUUAUUCUGCAGUCAAUCAGGGCCAUUGCCAUCCAAAAGUCCUACGAGCUCUGAUAGAACAAGCAGAAAGGCUUACACUUAGUUCCAGAGCUUUCUACAAUGACAAAUUCCCAGUCUUUGCGCAGUAUUUGACGAGCAUGUUUGGGUAUGAUAUGAUGUUGCCAAUGAACACUGGAGCCGAAGGAGUGGAAACGGCUAUUAAAUUGGCAAGGAAAUGGGGUUAUGAAAAGAAGAAUAUACCAAAGAACGAGGCUUUGAUUGUCUCUUGCUGUGGAUGUUUCCAUGGUCGGACAUUGGGCGUUAUCUCUAUGAGCUGUGACAAUGAUGCAACUCGUGGUUUUGGUCCUUUGGUUCCUGGUCAUCUUAAAGUUGAUUUUGGAGACAUUGAUGGGUUGGAGAAAAUCUUUAAAGAGCAUGGGGAUCGUAUAUGCGGUUUUUUGUUUGAACCAAUCCAAGGAGAAGCUGGGGUAAUAAUCCCACCAGAUGGCUAUUUGAAAGCUGUCAGAGAUUUGUGUUCUAGGCACAACAUUCUGAUGAUUGAUGAUGAGAUCCAAACAGGCAUAGCUCGAACUGGCAAAAUGUUGGCAUGCGAUUGGGAAGAUGUACGACCUGAUAUGGUGAUUCUAGGCAAGGCACUUGGUGCUGGAGUAGUUCCGGUCAGUGCAGUUCUGGCGGACAAGGAUAUCAUGCUGUGUAUCAAGCCGGGAGAACAUGGAAGUACAUUUGGUGGAAACCCAUUGGCAAGUGCUGUGGCAAUCGCAUCUCUGAAAGUGGUCAAGGAUGAAGGUCUUGUUGAAAGAGCUGCGGAGUUAGGUCAGGAGUUCAGAGACCAGUUACAAAAAGUUCAACAGAAGUUUCCUCGUAUUAUCAGGGAAAUACGUGGGAGAGGUUUGCUUAAUGCAGUAGACCUAAGCAGCAAGGCUCUAUACCCUGCUUCUGCAUAUGAUAUUUGCAUCAAGCUAAAGGAGAGGGGCAUUCUUGCAAAGCCCACGCAUGACACCAUAAUCCGAUUAGCCCCUCCCAUUUCCAUCAGUCCUGAGGAGCUCGCAGAAGCAUCAAAGGCACUCAGCGAUGUGCUCGAGCAUGACUUGCCGCAGUUGCAGAAGCAGAUCAAGAAGCCAGACUCGGAGGCAAAAAUACCAGUCUGUGAUAGGUGCGGUCGGGAUUUAUAA
rnacentral:rRNA from 1 species